rnacentral:lncRNA from 1 species
UGCGGAUCGAAGAAAAAAAAAGUCGCGGUGCAACCUCAGGGAGGUCGAAGGCGAGGAGGGUGAGGGUAAGGGGUGCGCAGGCGAGAACGAGAGCGUAAGGGGCAGUCGCCUUCUUCGAAAAAGAAAAAAAAAACAAGAGAAAAAAAACGGAAAGAGAAAAAAUAAUAUGGAUAUUUUGGUCAGUUUAUUAAAGUUGGAUCGAAUAUGAAAAAUUAAAAAAAUCGAUCUAGAAAAAGAAAAAUUAAAAAAAUCGGUCUAGAAAAAAAAAAGAAGAAAGAAGGGC